GACGAACGCUGGCGGCGUGCUUAACACAUGCAAGUCGAACGGAAAGGCCCUGCGGUUGUGUGGUGCUCGAGUGGCGAACUUGUUAGUAACGCGUGAGUAACCAGCCCUUGGCUUAGGGAUAAUUUCAGGAAACUUGGGCUCAUACCGGAUAGGGGCUCCUGCUGCAUGUCGGUUGUUGGAAAUUUUCGGCUGUUGGGGAUAGACUCGCGGCUUAUCAGCUUGUUGGGUGGGUAGUGCCAUACCGAGGCUUUGACGGGUAGCAGGCCUGCGAGGGUUACCGGCAACAUUGGAAUGGGGAUACGGCACAGACUACUACGGGAGGCAGGAGAGGGGAGUAUUGUACAAUGGGAGGAAGCAUGAUGCGGCACAGCCGCGUGCGGGAAGAGGGGAAGCAGGUUGGAAACCGAUGUUGCAUGAGACGAAGAGUGAGUGACGGUAAUUGGCAAAGAAGCACCGGCUAACUACGUG
rnacentral:rRNA from 1 species